UACGGAGGAGGCAAGCGUUAUCCGGAAUUAUUGGGCGUAAAGCGUCCGCAGGUGGCUAUUCAAGUCUGCGGUCAAAGACUGGGGCUUAACCCUGGAAAGGCCGUGGAAACUGAAGAGCUAGAGUGCAGUAGGGGUAGAGGGAAUUCCAGGUGUAGCGGUGAAAUGCGUAGAUAUCAAGAGGAACACCUGCGGCGAAGGCGGGUUGCUGGGCCGACACUGACGCUGAGGCGCGAAAGCCAGGGGAGCGAACGGG
rnacentral:rRNA from 1 species